GGAAGAUAAAGCAUUCACUGAAUUCAUAUCUGUUGCAGCCAAUCAUGCAAAUGAUUAUGAUUGAAGAGGUUUACUAAUUCUGUAAUACCUCUAGAUUGUUUUAAUACAUCAUUAAGCUAGAGCAAAAGCAUCACCUUUCAUAUACUUUAUCAUAUACACAGCUAAAAACACACAGGUUGUUGCAAGUUGAUAUCGACAGGCGUGAACAAUGUUGUGUGGCCAACUAUGAACAAGUUGUCACCCGGCCAUGUUGUUCCAAGUUGUUACAGUUGAACAAUGCUGUAACAACAUGUUGACAAUACUGUUCAUAGUGGGCCGCAUAACUUUGUUUACACCUAUCGAUAUCAACUUGCAACAAGUUGUUGAUUUUCUCAAUUUUUACGUGUGUAUAGCAUCCAUGUGUACUGGUGAAAUGAAUGUGUGCAAUAUUUUAAAAUUGUGUGCAUAAAAUUUUAUUUUUAAAAACAUUUUAAUUAUCUUUAAGUACAGCAAUAUUAUGU